rnacentral:rRNA from 1 species
GUGGGGAAUAUUGGACAAUGGGCGCAAGCCUGAUCCAGCCAUGCCGCGUGAGUGAUGAAGGCCUUAGGGUUGUAAAGCUCUUUCACCGAUGAAGAUAAUGACGGUAGUCGGAGAAGAAGCCCCGGCUAACUUCGUGCCAGCAGCCGCGGUAAUACGAAGGGGGCUAGCGUUGUUCGGAUUUACUGGGCGUAAAGCGCACGUAGGCGGUUUGUUAAGUCAGGGGUGAAAUCCCGGAGCUCAACUCCGGAACUGCCUUUGAUACUGGCAAGCUAGAGUCCGGAAGAGGUAAGUGGAACUCCUAGUGUAGAGGUGGAAUUCGUAGAUAUUAGGAAGAACACCAGUGGCGAAGGCGGCUUACUGGUCCGGAACUGACGCUGAGGUGCGAAAGCGUGGGGAGCAAACAGGAUUAGAUACCCGGGUAGUCC